rnacentral:ncRNA from 2 species
GCACAACGACAGGGGAGCGCCGUGGGGCGCUGAGAGUGCGGGUUUCCGCAGACCCUCGAACCUGAUCCGGUUCAGACCGGCGUAGGGAGUCGGGACGUCCUCGAC